UACGUAGGGCGCAAGCGUUGUCCGGAAUUAUUGGGCGUAAAGAGCUCGUAGGCGGCUUGUCACGUCGGGUGUGAAAGCCCGAGGCUCAACCUCGGAACUGCCUUCGAUACUGCGGGUCUCGAGUCCGGGAGAGGUGAGUGGAAUUCCUAGUGUAGAGGUGAAAUUCGUAGAUAUUAGGAAGAACACCAGUGGCGAAGGCGGCUCACUGGCCCGGUACUGACGCUGAGGCGCGAAAGCGUGGGGAGCAAACAGG
rnacentral:rRNA from 1 species